rnacentral:tmRNA from 1 species
UGGAUUCGACGGGAUUUGCGAAACCCAAGGUGCAUGCCGAGGGGCGGUUGGCCUCGUAAAAAGCCGCAAAAAAUAGUCGCAAACGACGAAAACUACGCUUUAGCAGCUUAAUAACCUGCUUAGAGCCCUCUCUCCCUAGCCUCCGCUCUUAGGACGGGGAUCAAGAGAGGUCAAACCCAAAAGAGAUCGCGUGGAAGCCCUGCCUGGGGUUGAAGCGUUAAAACUUAAUCAGGCUAGUUUGUUAGUGGCGUGUCCGUCCGCAGCUGGCAAGCGAAUGUAAAGACUGACUAAGCAUGUAGUACCGAGGAUGUAGGAAUUUCGGACGCGG